rnacentral:lncRNA from 1 species
GAGGCUAGAUUUAUGUAAGGAUCCAAAAGGUAUUCAUGUAUAUGAGGAUGGGGAAACAAGGAGAGUUUGGACAACACUGAAGUAACCUGUAAAUUUACAUCAUAGGGCUGAUCAAGAAUCCUGCCCAUUCUGUCAAAGAGGACUUUCAAGAAAUGGCCUUCAAAGAAUGAUGCUUCUAAAUUGCACUUUUCCAAAGACCUGGGAGACCCAGGCCACUCCCACCGUAAGCAGAUGAGACAGUAAUCCCGGAAUUGUCUGUGGGCAUCUCUGAGGUAAGUAUCAUAACCUGUACCCUCCACGUGGUAUGAUGACUUAGCUUCAUCAGGUACAAGACAGAGAAAACUAUUUACAAUUUUAUGAACUUCAGUCUUCCCAUCAUUUUUGGGAUGUUCUGGACUGACAGGUGGAGAAACACUGAGCCACUCUUGAGCCCCAGUGUUAUCUGGAGACAGAUCGGUAAAUAGUGGAUCUUCCUCCAGGUCUAUUGCUCCUGCAAUCUGCCCAUUCUCUACCACAUCUUUAUCUUCUUGACACAGUGGCUUAUAUUCUAUGUAAUUUCUUUCUUCCAGAUUUC